UAGGUAGGCACACUCUCUCGCCAAGGUUGCAGGUGUGUCCAGGGUCUCGAGGAAGGUACUGCAGAGGCAGCAGGAGAAGGAGGGGACGAAGUACCUGUCGUGUUCUGGCUGUUCAACGCGUCGAGCAGUAGCUACAAGGAGGCGUAGGGGCCAGAGUAGGAGUACAUGAGACAUGCGAUCAACGUCCAUGGCCGCUCUGGCUACGUCCACUACGGUGACUUGAGUUCACCCUCAAGCUGUUUCUGGAACCGGUAAUGAUACAAAGGAAAGGUCUACUAGUCAUCACCACGGGUCAUCCCAGCUAGCCCUGAAUCGAACCCACCAACAGAAAAUAAGCAAACUAAAGCAGGCAUCGACCUGAGACACAACUAGAACUUACUAACAUAUUGAGCUACUAUAAACACACUGUAACACC
rnacentral:rRNA from 1 species